UUGCUGAACCUUUCUCCUCCUCUCACUUUUCUCUCUCCUCGCCUUCCCCUCACCAAACAACACUGCAUUUCUAGGGUUAGACUUCUCCCGCAAAGAUGGUAUUCAAUCAACUCUAUCCUCGAUCGCCUCGAAGGCGGCGUCCCCCUCAACAGCCGCGGCGGAAAUGGGUUUUAGGGUUUCUAAGGAAAUGUUUUCAUUGAAGGAGAGAGAUUCAAAUUGAAACUUCCGUAAAAAAUAAUCGAAUUAGGGGUUUAGGAAAGGGGAUUCGAUUAUAGAUAAGAACGGAUUGAAGGUCGAUAAUGGAGGAGAUAGAAAUCGAUGGUGGGUGAUGGCUCCUUGGAGGCGGCGGCGAUGGCGGCUCACCUUCCAUUUCAUCCUUUCAGAAUGUUCAACUUCUUGCAGAAUUUUUAAUCGCUGGAAUUCUGUUGCACCAACUGAAGUUGAUGAAUCACAUUUUAUCAUCAAACCCUCAAUUUCAAAUAAUCCAGUUAACCACAUUAACAAGGACAAGGCCAUUAGAGAGAUUAGAUCUUCUGCGGUUGAAAGACACAAAGGAGGAUUUUAUUGAACCAGAGAGAUAGCGGGAGGAGACGGACGGUUAGCACACCGGCGGUAUAGUCGAGCAGCGAAUCAAUCUGAAUUUGGUAAUUUCUAUCACAUAAAUUCAAUUUCAUAAUUCUAGGGUUUCCACCUUUUUCCCAAUUUUAUGAGAUAAACAACACUUUUUUGAAUUGCUAAUAAUCAAGUCUUAUGGAAAUUCUGUUUAUAUACUCAUUUUGGGGGAUUUUAUUUGUUGUUUGAUUCAUCCCUUCCUGGGUUUUUCUAAUUUUUUAUGGUUUUUGCUUAGAAAAACGUGGCCCUCUAUUUUUCACUCAAUUUCCGGUGAAAAUAGGGUUGGUGGUUAUCGAUUGCAAUCCUCAUAAGUUGACGAAAAAAUGUCAACUUCAAUCAACUUAUUGAUAAGCUUCUCUGACAUUUCUCUUACUACAUCAGUUAAAUUCAUUAUUUUCUCUUUUCUUCUUCAACUUAAUUAUUGGUUUUCGACUUUGAUAAUUGCAGUGGACUCCAAAAUCUGUCACAAAUAAUCAUCAGACAUCGUUAAUUAAUCAGAAAGUACGCAGAACGGUUUCAAUUAGAGCUUUCUUUUUCAAUCCAUCUGACGAACCAAUUCUCAAGGAAGCAGUCAAGGAAAGGUGCUUCCAGGAGCAGGGCGUGCAGGGUGGGAAACUGAGGAAAUAGAUUAAAUGGUAGCUUGGGUUUCUAGGAAGUUUAGGACAUUGAAGGUGAGGUGUAACUGUUUUUCCAUAAUAAGGAGUUUAAAGGAGUUCAAGCAUGCUGAAUGCCCCGUCAUUACAAUCAAGCGACGUGCAAAGGAGGUUCCAGGCUCCUCAAGACCCUGUAGAUGACUAAGUGCUUAUGCUCUGGCUGAACCGUGGCUGAACUAUUUGUAUAUAGACCUGAUUUUAAGUGUGAACAUUUUGUAAAUUUUGUUAAUUUUAUGGGGACAAUCUCGAAUCAAAUAUGGGUGUGAGGUUUAUUUUUGUGUGUAUGACAAUAAAUUGAAGAUGCAUCGUUGUGAUCUUUUGAACAACGGUUUUUGUGA